CGUUGAAACAUUGGUUCCUGUACAAUCACCGAAGUUAAGCAAUGGUAAGCCUGGUUAGUACAUAGAUGGGUGACCGCUUGGGAAUAACAGGUGCU